UACAGGGGGGGCAAGCGUUGUUCGGAAUUACUGGGCGUAAAGGGCGCGUAGGCGGCCUGUUAAGUCGAACGUGAAAUCCCCGGGCUCAACCCGGGAACUGCGUCCGAUACUGGCAGGCUUGAAUCCGGGAGAGGGAUGUGGAAUUCCAGGUGUAGCGGUGAAAUGCGUAGAUAUCUGGAGGAACACCGGUGGCGGAGGCGGCAUCCUGGACCGGUAUUGACGCUGAGGCGCGAAAGCCAGGGGAGCAGACGGG
rnacentral:rRNA from 1 species